AGCGGCGAACGGGUGAGUAACGCGUGGGCAACCUGGCCUUAAGAAAAGGAUAGCCCCCGGAAACGGGGAGUAAUACUUUAUGAGAAUAGAAAAGGGCAUCCUAUUUCUAUUCAAAGCGCAAGCGCUUAAGGAUGGGCCCGCGUAUCAUUAGCUAGUUGGUGAGAUAACAGCCCACCAAGGCAACGAUGAUUAGCCGGUCUGAGAGGGCGAACGGCCACAUUGGAACUGAGAGACGGUCCAAACUCCUACGGGAGGCAGCAGUGGGGAAUAUUGCGCAAUGGAGAAGAACUCUGACGCAGCAAUACCGCGUGAGCGAAGAAGGUCUUCGGAUCGUAAAGCUCUGUUAUCAGGGAAGAAGAAAAUGACGGUACCUGAUGAGCAAGUCCCGGCUAACUACGUGCCAGCAGCCGCGGUAAUACGUAGGGGACAAGCGUUGUCCGGAAUCACUGGGCGUAAAGGGCGCGCAGGCGGUGAUUUAAGCAGGAUGUGAAAGGCUACGGCUCAACCGUAGACAUGCACCCUGAACUGGGUCACUUGAGUAUUGGAGAGGCAGGCAGAAUUCCUGGUGUAGCGGUGAAAUGCGUAGAUAUCAGGAGGAAUACCGGAGGCGAAGGCGGCCUGCUGGACAAAUACUGACGCUGAGGCGCGAAAGCGUGGGGAGCAAACAGGAUUAGAUACCCUGGUAGUCCACGCC
rnacentral:rRNA from 1 species